CGGGUCCAGCGGUCGCGCGCGCCCUGGAGUCCUGUCCUGGUUCUGGCGGCUGAGGGCCGGGUGGCGCAGGCGGCCUCCGGCUGUGCCCAUGGGAACUAAAACCUUCGGUUCUAGAAGAGCCGGGGGAGAGGCUCCGGGAAGACCGAAUUCUUCAGAAAUCGCAGAGAGACCUUGGACCGGAUCCUUCCCUGCAGGGCUGCGUCGGGGAAGCGCCGGCACAAGUAUAUUCAGCGACUUCCUUGGAAGCGCCUACGUUAGAAUACUACAAACUUACAAGCUAGUUGAUCAGUUUACCUCCCACUAGAAAAGACAGUAUGGGAAGGCAGAGGCCGCGUGGCCUGGACCCCCGUCUUUGCUGUCAGGCUUCCAGAGUGAAGCCUCUCCUUCCUGGAAAUUGCCAUCACCAGCGGCCAUAGCACCCCCAUGGGACCUGGGGGAUGGAGUUGGAAGCCCCCUCCGGCAACACUGGCCAGAUUGGAGAGACCAGCAGGGAAGCUCCCUCCUACCCCCAGGGAGGCUGAAGCCAGCUCUCCAUGGGCACGAAACCUGGAACCCAGGACCCUGGGGGGCAGGUGAGAUGACAGGGACUUGGGGUCUGGGAGCAGAGUCACAGGGAAGAGUGGCAUCUAGGGGAGGCGCAUCUUGGGGGUGCAUCUAGGGGAGGUGCUAAGAAGUGACAGGGGUCUCUGGAGGUGCCCCAGUCCCUCUGCUGGGAUGCAGGGUGGCAGGGAGCUGAGAAGGUGCUCAGCCACCCUCUGGAAGCUUCUGACGUCCCAGCCUAAGCUCAGCCUGCAGGGCCCUGUGGCCUGAGCCAACCCCAGACCUGGGUUGGAUUUUUUCCUUGUUUCUUGCUUCCUUCCUCCCCUGGACUCCUGCCAACUCCAGCCCUGCCCUCCUCGCUCUUCACCCCACUUCAGAGAACUGUGACCCACUGGAGGCUGGGAUUUGAGAUGAGAGGUCACCCUCGGAGUUGGCUCCAGCUGCUGCCUCUGCCUGGGACCCCUCCUUGGGAGUUGGGUGGCAGGGCCUUGCUGGGGGCACUUCCCUUCGCAUCUGGAUUUUGGCCUCGGGCCCAGGGCUAUGGGGGUUUCCAGAGUGGUGACAGCCUUGUCCUAGCAGGGACCAGCCCAAGCACUUCCUCCCAGAGCCCUCUGGGAGCGUCCCAGCCCCAAGGCUGUCAUUUUGUCGUAGGGAGUAAAUUGUGGAGUCAGCAGAGGCUGUCUUCCACACUUUCUGUGCCUUCCAGGUAUCCUGUCAUUCCUCAUUCUGAAAACCUAGGCUUGCAUCUCUCUUGUGCCUAGGGCUAUGCUGGACUAGAGAAGACACAGGUGGCCAAAGCUGGACCCAGCCCUCAGGGAACAGAUAACCUGCCUGCACGGUAUUCCAGCACAAGGAUGUAUGGUAAUUUACAGAUGCACUUCUUGGCAGAGGGACCUUCAGGUUGCUUCCAGCCCUUUCUCAAGACAGGCCGUGCCGCAGUGAGUCAUCUGUACAAAAGCCCUUUCACACAUGCACGAGCGCUGCUGCGGAAUACAUUCCCAGAAGGGACUUGGGAGGACUGGGGGGCAAAAGAUACAUGCAGUGGUGUCUUAUUAUUGUUAUUUUAGAGACAGGGUCCUGCUCUGUCACCCAGGCUGGAGUACAAUGUACAAUGGUGUCAUCA
rnacentral:lncRNA from 1 species